rnacentral:rRNA from 1 species
AUACGGGGGGAGCAAGCGUUGUCCGGAAUUACUGGGCGUAAAGGGCGUGUAGGCGGCUUGAUAAGUCAGAUGUGAAAGCCUUCCGCUUAACGGAAGAACUGCAUUUGAAACUGUCGGGCUUGAGUGCGAGAGAGGGUAGUGGAAUUCCCAGUGUAGCGGUGAAAUGCGUAGAUAUUGGGAAGAGCACCAGUAGCGAAGGCGGCUACCUGGCUCGUAACUGACGCUAAGGCGCGAAAGCGUGGGGAGCAAACAGGAUUAGAAACCCGAGUAGUCC